AGUGAACGCUGGCGGUAGGCCUAACACAUGCAAGUCGAACGGCAGCACAGUAAGAGCUUGCUCUUACGGGUGGCGAGUGGCGGACGGGUGAGGAAUACUUCGGAAUCUACUUUUUCGUGGGGGAUAACGUAGGGAAACUUACGCUAAUACCGCAUACGACCUACGGGUGAAAGCAGGGGAUCUUCGGACCUUGCGCGAUUGAAUGAGCCGAUGUCGGAUUAGCUAGUUGGCGGGGUAAAGGCCCACCAAGGCGACGAUCCGUAGCUGGUCUGAGAGGAUGAUCAGCCACACUAGAACUGAGACACGGUCCAGACUCCUACGGGAGGCAGCAGUGGGGAAUAUUGGACAAUGGGCGCAAGCCUGAUCCAGCCAUACCGCGUGGGUGAAGAAGGCCUUCGGGUUGUAAAGCCCUUUUGUUGGGAAAGAAAAGCAGCAGGUUAAUACCCCGCUGUUCUGACGGUACCCAAAGAAUAAGCACCGGCUAACUUCGUG
rnacentral:rRNA from 1 species